CACGGUACGCGUGGGUUUGUUUU
rnacentral:siRNA from 1 species